rnacentral:rRNA from 1 species
AAUGAACGUUGGCGGCGUGGAUUAGGCAUGCAAGUCGAGCGAGAACCGUAGCAAUACGGGGACAGCGGCGAAAGGAACAGUAAUGUGUAGGUACCUACCCCUGGGUCUGGGAUAGCUGCGGGAAACUGCAGGUAAUACCGGAUAAUGUCCAAGGACCAAAGGUGUGAUUCCACCUGGGGAGGGGCCUGCAUCCUAUUAGCUAGUUGGCGGGGUAACGGCCCACCAAGGCAACGAUGGGUAGCGGGUGUGAGAGCACGACCCGCGUCAUUGGGACUGAGACACUGCCCAGACACCUACGGGUGGCUGCAGUCGAGGAUCUUCGGCAAUGGGCGAAAGCCUGACCGAGCGACGCCGCGUGCGGGAUGAAGGCCUUCGGGUUGUAAACCGCUGUCGUAGAGGAGGAAGUGCAGGGGGGUUCUCCCCUUUGCUUGACCUAUUCUAGGAGGAAGUACGGGCUAAGUUCGUGCCAGCCGCCGCGGUAA